AUUCUUUAGGGACUUUAAUAGUUUUCGUCCCACAGUCUGCUUUUACAAUUUUACCCCUACAUUUGAUGAAUCCCGCCGCUUCUUUUUUGUUCUAGAUCCCUCAACCGCCAUUCUUCCGAUCUAACACUUACACAAACCAAAUAAUUUCAUGUCCACCAGACCACCACCCCAUCCCACUGCUUACUCUACACAUUGUGCCUUCUCUCCACCGUUUCUCAAGCUUGCUGCCCCAGGGAAGCAACUACUGACGACGGUCGAUUCACUGUCUUCACAUAAUCAACCAGAAAAUCGUUGCCAAAGUUCCAGUCUUAGGUAUCCUCCUCUCGAUUUUAUUUGUUGCCACUUUCAAAUCGAAGCGAGCGUCAGAAGAAGACCGACUCAAAAAGAACCCACUUCAAUCGCAAUUUCCCUCACAGCGAGCGUUAGAAGAAGACCGACUCAAAAAAACCCACUUCAAUCGCAAUUCCCCUCACAAUCACUGACGCCUUUGUUGACACCCACUGCUUCAAUCGCCGAAAUCCAGGUCUGUGUCGCUUAAUCGGAUUACCUUAUGCUCGCUGAUUGAACCCUGAGAUUUUGAAGGUUUCAAUGAUUUUAUCCUAUUUGUUUACCGCCUUUGCCACCACUUUUAACACCGUUUUCUAUCAUCGAUGUCCCCUCCGUUUACGCCCACCGCAAUCAUCAGCCUUCGCUUCUCUAAAAUCCUGUUUGGGUUGUUUUCUAUUUCCGCUUUGUAAUAAGAGAGACACACGCACAAAGAUGCUCCGGCAUAUAGGGUUCACAGAAAAUACAUCUUUUGUUGAUGACUCCUUCUAAUUUAUGCAUAAGUGUUCACGCUUAUUUCAAUGAAUGGACACAUGUUCCCUUAUUUUCACUUCGUCUUUUUUGUAAAGAAAUCAGAGUUUGAAAUCUCCUUCGUCGUCAUUGGUUGUCAGCUGCUGCCUGUUGGGUCGAACAAGAAAUUAGAUUUUGCAGGAACGGAUGGAGGCUACACAAACUAAACAUCCACUAUAAGAUCGAUUUAGAAAUGGAUUGAGUUUCCCAAAUUUUUACUUUUGUCCAUCUACACAAGAUGGAAACCUGAUGAAAGUCGCUACCAGGUCUACCAGGUGGUCGAUAUAAUGUCAAGGGAAGUUAUAUCUUCAUGUGUUGUUUUUUUAAUACAGUUUAUUAGGGAUGCAUUUCAUGAUGGGUAAGAGUAAUCUAGGAAGAGAACAAAUCCAAGUUUACCGUAUCUGAUGCUACGACUUUCCUAGAUUCUUAUUACCGCUUGGAGAGGAAAUAAAAUGAAAUAAGAACGCACAGUGAGAUGGGAUUUUAGAAUAUAGAGAUGAUCAAACAAUGAAUAACAAAACAUGUUUCUCCCCACAAUCAACUAAUGAAAUGUUGGAUUUUAGAAUUAAUUUAUGUCAGAUUAUCAUAUUGUUGUAGCUGAUCAGAGUGUUGGGUUUGAGAUUUUGAUGUGGCCAGGUUAGAAUAAUUUUUUUGUCUGCCAUCUAUUCGAUAAAAUGCUUAAGUGAAAAGUAUUUUUCUUAACAUUUUGACUUUUAUUAUCAUGAGAUUUGAUGGUUGGUUUUUGGGUUUUAUAUAAAAACAGGAUAUUCCUAAAAGAUGGAAAGAGGCCACUAGAGGACCAUGUCAGUUUAUAUGUAAACAUUGCCUUAUUACAGAUGGUUCCACUUCAAUAAGGUUAUAUUAUCUUAUAUUGGUUCAUAACAACCCUCUCUUUCACCUUUUUAACAUUAGCUUGGAUAUGUAAGUUUGUAAUUCCACUGGUAAAACUAUGAAUGCUAUGUAAAUUUACUUAUGUUAGCUUGUAGACAACAUCACCGACAAUGCAGCCAAUGUCAACAGUCAAAACCAAAAUGCAAGACAGAUCGGCCAGGUAAAGUUUUAUUAAGAAUCGUAUGGCAUUGUUGAAGAUUUGGACACAAAGAUUUCUAAUUUUCACACAUUCUGCUCCACUCACACCCGAAAGAAAGCCAACUUCUUUGGAAGUGGAAGCAAGAUAGAUGUCUAUUUGUGUGAUAGAAGACGUUGACAAAGAAAGAGUUUUAAAUAAAUAAAGAGUAUCAUGAUCAAUCAUGAUAUUGUUGAAGCUCUAGAACUACUCAAGGGAAACGCAUGUCCAUGACAGCUGGUAAAACUCACUCUUUUUAGCCAAACAUGUUUUCACUGUGUCAAAACUAAAAAUAGUGUUGAUUAAAAAACUAUAUGUUAGCCUAAAACUAAUAAAUAUCAAGGGCAUUUUUGGUAUUUCCCAAAAGUGCUCCGUUUUUUCAA